UUCGUCACUGAGAAGAGAUUGGUGCAGAGGAACAUAUCGUUCCAGGUCAAUAGUAUUGAGACUUUGGCAGACAAGGCGCUAUUCCGCAGCUCUUCUAAUCGUCCCUCUACACCACCUGGUUCUUCUCUCGGUUAUCCUGAUAGUGUGCAGGCGUCGCAUGCUGAUUCUAAGAAACGUCGCUCUGUUGUAUGCUUGCCUCUGGGAUCAUGGAAGAAACUGUCUUUUGGAGCAGUCCCGCCUAAAGAGAAAUUCGUAGCGCCACCUCCUACUUCUGACGAAAAUCAGCAUCUUCGCUGAUGGUAAUGGACCUACCAACCAGCUGCCUGCUAUAGUGCUUGAUCAGCACCGUCCCACCUCAGAGUUCUCAUCUGCUUGCGGACAGUCCAGGCUUAGGUUACUCCGUGCUGCACUG